ACUACAUUAUUGGUGGUAUCUUAAUUUCUUUAGUUGGGCUAUGAUGAUUCUAAUUCUAGGCCUAAUAAAUUUUGAAGAUUAAAGGCUGUUAUAGGUCUGAUUGGGUUAUUGCUUCAUUUUUUAUUGUUCAUGUGCGAAGAAUAGCGGAGGCUGUCAACUAUUAGGUCCAAAUCAGGUGAUCCACUUUAUGCCUAAAGGCUGAAACUGCAGAUGAAAUAUUUACAGAAAAUGGAGAAAACUGUUGGAAGGUGAAUCGAGACUAGGAGGCAGAUGAAAACACUCCCAAAAUCAAGUUAGUAUGUAUAGAAGAGAUGAAGAGGAAGAGGAGAAGGAACCCUUGUCUUAAUUGUUGGACUCUAAUGUGUCAAACCCAUAGAGGCAUAGUUCAAAUGCCGACCCUAAAACGGAUGUACGUGAAUAAACAUUUAUUUUUAAUUCUUUAACACAUUGUUUAACUAAGUAUGCUAAAUCUUCCUCUAUAAUCGUAUCAAUUUGGAGUGAGCCUUCAAACUU